AGUCGGUUGACAGUGCCGAUUUUCGCUAUCAUAGUCGGAGUCAUCGUCCAGGCGGACACUGAGCUCGCAUGGUGGCGAACAAUAACUCUGUACGAGAUCUGGCCACGAUCAUUUAAGGACAGCAAUGGAGACGGAAUUGGCGAUUUGAAUGGCAUUAAAAGCAAAUUGGACUACCUAAGCGAGCUGGACAUAGGGGCGAUAUGGAUUCAUCAGUUGUUAUACGGCAACCACUAGGGAUCCUCAGCGUACACCUUUCCAAUGGGAUAAUACUACGUCGGCAGGAUUCUCCACAAACACCUCGGUGUACUUGAAAGUGAACGAGAAUUAUCGUACACUGAAUUUAGCGGCGCAAAAGGAGGCUGAUAAAAGUUACUUUAAGAACUUCCAGGCUGCCGCGCGGCUCAGAAACACGACGGUCGGU